UCUCUCUCUUUCAUUUCAUUACCUUUCUUCUCUCUCCUUUCUCACUUCUCUCUUACAAAUCCUCUCUUCCCCUCGAGUGUACCAAUCAUCUCUGGCGUUCGUGGGUUGUCAUUGUGUCGUCCACAUGCAGAUCUAAUGUUUGUGGGUUGUCGUCUGUCGUUCUCGUGCAGAUCCGGCGUUCCCGUGCAGAUCUUGUUGUGCAGAUCGCGUUUUGCGUGUAGAUCCGGCCGUCCAGAUCACGUGCAAAUCUGACCGUGCAGAUCCGGCGUUUGCGGGUUCAUCUUCCUCGUGAAAAUGUCGCCUCACUUCCUUUGGAACCAGAUGCCACAAUCGGAGUCCGACGACAGCCACACCAGAAGUCGGAUGCCAUGCCGCGAUCGAGAGCACUCAUAAUCAGGUUCACCGCACGUCAGACGCAUGUCCAGCUUUGGGUUCGCGCUGCCGUGGGUUUUUGCUUUAGGCUUUAAGUUUGUUCUGGGUGCAAGUAGUCAAUCGCAUCUCCUCAUCCGCCGCCGUUUCGUGAGGUCGCCACCGGUGGAUCAUCAGCUGUGCCAGCUGGUGAGUUGUAAGGUUAGGAUCGGAGGUUUCAACCAAUUUUCGGCAACUGUCCAGUAGUUAAUAGUCGUGUGGGAGAACUUUCAGUAAGGGAAAAAAUGGUCUUGUCUUGCUAAGCGUUGUGUGUUUCUUGGGAUGUUGUGUCUUUGAUCUGGUUAUGUGUUCGUGCUUAGGUGUGGGCUGUUUUGAUGAAGUUGAAGAUCAGAAUUAAGACUAAGGGCAGAGGUUUCCAAGUGUACUGAGCUGAUGGAACAAAGACAAAGUGGAGAGGGAAAGUAACAUUGGCGAGGAAGUUGGGUGGUCAAAAAAUGUAGAAGUGGCAAAAGUGAAUCCAAAACUUGCAACAAUGAACAAGAAAUUCAGGAUGAUUCAUGGCUUGCCAUCUUUUGCUAAUAUCCUGGCAUUUGGUAGUCUUGCAAUGCACUCAUGGUAUUUGGUGGGAGAAUAGUCCCUAGCUCCAGAAAUUGACAUCAGAAAACUUGGGAAGACAUCGUCGAAUACUAUUCAUUUAUCUUCAACUUAUUUUUAAUCAUUCUAACCAUUUUGUAAUUCAUUUAUUUUGAAUGCUAUUCUUGUGUGCAACUUAGCAUAUCUACUCUACUUGUUCAAUGUAUAAUAUAUAUGUAUACUUCAUAGUUGAUAAAUUGGAAUUUGCU